CGAAAGCGUAGGGAGCAAACGGGAUUAGGUACCCCGGUAGUCUACGCCGUAAACGAUGCGCACUAGGUUCGAGGGCCACUGACGGCCAUCGAACCGAAACAAAAGCGAUAAGUGCGCCGCCUGGGGAGUACGGCCGCAAGGCUAAAACUCAAAGGAAUUGACGGGGGCUCACACAAGCGGUGGAGCAUGUGGAUUAAUUCGAAGCAACGCGAAGAACCUUACCUGGGUUUGACAUCCACGGAUGCCGUCCAUGAAAGUGGAGCCGGCUGCCGCAAGGUGAAACGUGGACAGGUGCUGCAUGGCUGUCGUCAGCUCGUGCUGUGAAGUGUCGGGUUAAGUCCCUUAACGAGCGAAACCCUUGUCGCUAGUUGCCAGCGGGUCAUGCCGGGAACUCUAGCGAGACUGCCGGCGUCAAGCCGGAGGAAGGCGGGGACGACGCCAAGUCAUCAUGGCCUUUAUGUCCAGGGUGUCACACGUGCUACAAUGGGGUGUAACAAAGCGACGCGAUACCGUAAGGUGGAGCAAAUCGCAGAAACCAUCCCUCAGUUCAGAUUGGGGUCUGCAAUUCGACCCCAUGAAGUUGGAAUCGCUAGUAAUCGCGGAUCAGCCACGCCGCGGUGAAUAUGUUCCUGAGCCCUGUACACACCGCCCGUCAAGUCAUGGGAGCUGGGAGUUCCCGAAGUCGCCACGAUUCGGUGGUGCCGACGGAAAGCCUGGUGACUGGGACUAAGUCGUAACAAGGUAGCCGUA
rnacentral:rRNA from 1 species